rnacentral:ncRNA from 1 species
CCUAUUAAACUUAAGUAUAUUAAUAAGUAGAAGAAAGAAAACCAAUAGGAAUUACUUUAAUAAUAGUAAGUAAAAUAGUAAUAGUUUAGAUUUAAAAUCUAACCCUUAGAACCUAAGUUAUAAUUUAUAGAAAAUACUUUAAAUAUAAUACUUUCCGAGUUCCCUAAAAUAAGAUAUUAUAAAAAGUAAGAACCUUAUAUAAUUAGAUACUAAACCUAUAUAAAGCUCUUUUAAUAAGUUAAGUAGUUUAAAAAUACUAUUUAAAAUAAGAAGUAUAUUUCUUCUAAAACUAAAUACUAACUAGAGACUAAUAAUAUAUAAGUAGAAUAAUUAAAAGAUAAAAAAUAUUUUAAAAAAAAGGUUAAAUAAUAUAUAAAAUUAUUAAAAGGGAAAUACUUAUAACUAGACUUAUACCUAAUAGACUACCUAACUCUUAUAACUAGGAUAUUCUACUAGUUUAAAUUAGUAUUAGUUUACUAUUAGAAAUAAAAACUUUAGAAAUAUAAUUCUUUCUAAAGAGUAUUAUAACUUAUUAUAUAAUAUCUUUUAAUAAACUAAAAUAUAUACUCUAUAAAAAUAUUAAUAUAAUAAUUAUUAUUAAUCUAUCUUAAAAUAUAAAUUAAAAAGUUAACUUUAUAUAUAAAUAUUUAGAUAUUAAACCCCUAUAUAUAGUAAAAAUAAAUAUAAGUAAGGAUUUUAGUAUAUUAUUAACUAAUCCUAAUAUUCUUAGAUAGAUUUAAAUAAGAGUAUAUAGGGUUAGAUUUAAAAGAAGGUAAAUUAUAUAUAUAUAAAGUAAAACUAGAAGAAACUCUAGUAGAAACUUAUAAUAGUUCUAAUAUAUAAAUUAAUUAUUAAAUAUAUAUAUAGGGGUAAAAGACUAAUUAAACCUUCUAAUAAUUAGUUUCUACUAAAGUUUCCCUUAGGAUAGUAGUAUUAAACUUAGUUUUAUAAAGUAAAAUAAAUAAUUAAAAACUUAGAAGUACUAUAUUACUUUUAUUUAUUCUCAAACUUUAAAUAUAUAAGAAACCCUUAUUAUUUAGUUAAAUAUAAGUAUUUAAAUAUAUUAAUACUAAUAAGUUAUUUUUAAUAAGUAAAACUAAUAAUAUAGAAUAAACUAAAUAUAAAAUUAAAAUACUAGAAUAAAUACUUAUUAGAUACUAUAAACAGUAUUAGUAUAUCUUAAUAGUAAGAUAGUAACUAUAGAAAUCAGAAUCUACUAAAGACUAUAUAAUAACUUACUUACUAAAUAUACUAAUUUUGAAAAUAGAUAGUACUUAAGUAUCUUACCUAUACCUCACUUUUAGUAUAGAAAUAAUACGCUAAAGAGUAAGUAGAUAUAAAGGUUAGUAAUAAAACUUAAAAUAUAAGUCUAAAUAGAAUAACUUUUAAUAUAAAUCUUAAUAGUAAUAAUAAAUACUUUAAUAAGAAUUUAAAAGACUAAAGUAGGGAAAAGUUCUAUAUAAAUAAUAGUUAGAUAUAAGUUAGUUAAUCCUAAGUUAUAGAGAAGUUUUAUUUUAAAAGGAUAUUUAUACUUUAUAUAAUAAAAGGGAAGUUAGUUAAUAUUCUAAUAUUUAGAUAUAAGUUUUAUAUAGUAAUAUAACUAAAUAUAGAAAUAAUAGUAGGAGCUUUAAGUAGAAUUCUCUUUUCUUCUUAAUAAUCUAUUAUUUUAAAAUUAGUUUAUUUAGAAUUAAAAUUUAAUAACUAGAAGAACUUAAUACUUCUAUUAAGUCUAAUAUAUUCUUAAUAUCUUUUGAAAAUCUAUAGAAAGAAAUAAUUCUUAUAUUAAAUCAUAUUUAUAACUAUAGUAAGUCUUUAAAAUAAAUAAUUUCUAGUU